AAAUAUAAACGCAAAAAUUACUGAAACAGGUAAAGGGUAAUUAAUAACUAAUAAUUACAACUCAUCUAACAAUGACAACAAAGUUGAUAUUUGGUAGAAAGGCUUAUGCCAUUUUCACCGUAUGUGAAAACAUUCCUAUAUAUGUAUGCGCCAAAGAAAUAUAGAAGAGGAUAUUGCAUGCUUCUUUUAGGAUUCUAACAAGUCUAGUAGCAGGUAAUAAGGGUAUUACAAAUCAAGUGCAUGGUAAAUUCCUAUCAUCUACAAAUCAUUCAUCGUACCACAAUGAUUAUUUCAUAAGUAGCUAACACUGCUAUUUGAUAUAUUAUAUAUAUAUAUGUGAAUAUAUUUGCCAUGGGAGAGCCUAAUACCCAUUUAGAGACGAGAACAAACUUUGAUCAUUUCCCUUUUCUAUAACCUGCUCAUAUCCAACGGAUGCCUAUUCUGUGACCCUGCAAGAUUCACAGUAGAGGCAUUCAUCUGCAGAAGCAAAAGGAGUUGAUAUUAAGCUGGCUGCAUCGAAGGCUUUGCAUCCUCUCUUGGCUUGAUUUGAUUCUUCUUCUUCUUUUUCUUCUUGUAUGGAAUCCCUCUUGCCUUAGCCUGACACUCCCUCACUUCACGCAAAAAAACACGAAUAGCCCCAUUUCCAAAAGGAUUUGUCUCUGGUGAUCCUCCAUGCUCCUCAUAAGCAGCUCUUAGCCGUCCGAUUAGGGCAUCAAGACUUCCCCAAGCUUGCCUUAGAGGGCAAGUGCAAGGAGCGGGAGGGUCUGGUUGUCCGAAAAACACACACCCAUGUAGAUGAACCUUAGUCUUCCCAAACUGAUCAAGAUACCGAAGGAAAUCAAGAACAUGGUUGCAGUUACACUGCGACAGUGACACUGGCGGUCUCUGGUUCUUCAAAUACUGCCCGAAAGUGUUCCAAUCCCGCCGUUUCUGUGACUCGUAACGGCUCAACGGAGCCGGUUGAGGAAUUAGCUGCUGCUGCUGAUGAUCACCACCGGAUCGCGAGGACCCUUCCGCAGAAUCUUUAGGUCUGUCACCUGACAUGAUUAAAUUUUUUUUUUUCUUUUGGAGAAAUUCUUGGGUAUUUUUAGCAAGAAAUGGGAAAAAAAAGGUGGGGGUUAGAGAGCAAGAAAGAAAGAGAAAGGAUGCGAAA
rnacentral:misc_RNA from 1 species